GACGAACGCUGGCGGCGUGCCUAAUACAUGCAAGUCGAACGAACUCUGGUAAUGAUUGGUGCUUGCAUCAUGAAUUACAUUUGAGUGAGUGGCGAACUGGUGAGUAACACGUGGGAAACCUGCCCAGAAGCGGGGGAUAACACCUGGAAACAGAUGCUAAUACCGCAUAACAACUUGGACCGCAUGGCCCGAGUUUGAAAGAUGGCUUCGGCUAUCACUUUUGGAUGGUCCCGCGGCGUAUUAGCUAGAUGGUGAGGUAACGGCUCACCAUGGCAAUGAUACGUAGCCGACCUGAGAGGGUAAUCGGCCACAUUGGGACUGAGACACGGCCCAAACUCCUACGGGAGGCAGCAGUAGGGAAUCUUCCACAAUGGACGAAAGUCUGAUGGAGCAACGCCGCGUGAGUGAAGAAGGGUUUCGGCUCGUAAAACUCUGUUGUUAAAGAAGAACAUAUCUGAGAGUAACUGUUCAGGUAUUGACGGUAUUUAACCAGAAAGCCACGGCUAACUACGUG
rnacentral:rRNA from 2 species